AGUCACUGACAUUAGACUACCCCCGUAGUCCCAGCCGUAAACUAUGCGCGUUAGGUGUAUCGGUGACCACGAGUCACCGAGGUGCCGAAGGGAAACCGUGAAACGUGCCGCCUGGGAAGUACGGUCGCAAGGCUAGAAACUUAAAGGAAUUGGCGGGGAGCACCACAACGGGUGGAGCCAGCGGUUUAAUUGGACUCAACGCCGGGAAGCUCACCGGAUAAGACAGCGGAAUGAUUGCCGGGCUGAAGACUCUGCAUGACUAGCUG
rnacentral:rRNA from 1 species